CCGGUUGUCACGCCAGUGGCAUCGCCGGGUAGCUAUGUUCGGAAGAGAUAACCGCUGAAAGCAUCUAAGCGGGAAACUCGCCUUGAGAUGAGAUAUCCCCGGGGCUUCGAGCCCCUUGAAGGGUCGUUCAAGACCAGGACGUUGAUAGGUCAGGUGUGGAAGCGCAGUAAUGCGUUAAGCUAACUGAUACUAAUUGCCCGUAAGGCUUGAUCCUA
rnacentral:rRNA from 1 species